rnacentral:rRNA from 1 species
GCCGGCAGCCAUAUCACCCUGUAUAGCCCAAGACUGGUUACCCACUGAAGCUAAGCAGGGUUGAGCCUGGUCAGUACCUGGAUGGGAGACCUCCUGGGAAAACUAGGUUGCUGAUCAUCA